rnacentral:lncRNA from 15 species
GAUCUUUCAAGAAUGUGUUGUUGUCUUUGGCAGAGCGACACGAAUUUCACAUGGCGCAGCAGGUAUUUAUGUACCAUCAAAAACCUCUUCUUGAAGUGUCAAAUGUUUCAACUCUUUCUCUUGAUGUGUUGAAAGAGGAGAUCACACAAGCUAUACGGCUGAAACAACCAACUGUGGACAAUGUGUGUCUGGCAAAGAAUGUCACUUACGAUGGAUACAAUUACAGAACUGGAAUGAUCCUUGCACAUGGAUCUUUGGCAGGGAUCCCCGAAUUCAGUGAAAUCAUCCACAUGUUGGUUCUGAAGGACAAUCCUUUUUUUCAUUGUUCGGAAGCUGAGUGCAUGGCACUGGCAACACUUCAGGGCCUUUGAACUUAAAGUGAGCCCCACCAAAGACAUAAUACUCGUGGCGCCAGAUGAACUGACGGAUCCAUAUCUGCUGGUGGAUUACACUGUGGGAGGAGUGCGUUUGAUUGCCCUGAAGAGAUAUAUUCAAGUUUAAGGUCUGCGUUUUCAUCAAACAUCAUAUUUGCAUAUAAUUCAUUCUACUAGAAAUGUUAAAUGGGCACUUAAUUGACACUGGGGCAAUUUGACACACUUUGCACUUAUUAUAAUUCUAACCUGUCAUCUUUAUGCUCACACAAUGUGGUUGUGAAUGUGAAAUAAUGCUUUCCUUCGCCCUCUCCUGUUCUCCAGACACAUCCAGGACACGUUUUAACACAAGCUUACUGCACUACAACUGUGGUUUGCUCACAAUCUGUCAACCCCUCUCAACAAACACACAGACAUCCAGGAUGUGGUUUGAUUCCAGCCUCCUGCACUACACAAGCUGUCAGGACAUCAAAAUCUACACCAACACAUCUUUCAACACGCCCAGUGUAAAGACACGCAGGACGUUUUUUGACGCCAGCCUGCAGUUCAUCGGUUGCCUGGGCAUCACCAUCUACAUUCACUUUCCUUCAACACAUC